rnacentral:lncRNA from 1 species
UUAAUUAUUUCUUAGUAAAUUAUAAGAAUUAAAAUAAAUAUAUUCUCAUAUAUUUACAACAUUUAAUCUUGUCGUUAUGACAAAUAAAUAGGAAAUGAUAAGUAUCGACGUCGAUACUGUCGAUACUAUCGACUUUUCCAAUCCCGCGUACUUGUUUACGCGAUAUCGCCGGCGCCAUGUUAUAACGGUGCCUCGGCCCGGAGAAGAGAUCAAACUGCAGCGCGGCGCGCACGUCGCUCGUGCACAGAUAUGGGCCGCGCCCUUGAAUCGUCAUGUGUGAAUUUCUAAUAGUUAUAUGAAACCAUAAAACACAUAGUUAAUUUAUAAAAGGUGCAUCUCGUUUGUUACGACACUUCAUUACAAAUCAAGUGCAUAUAUUCCCCCACUUUGGGGACUACUCGACGGGCUCACUACUAUCACGCCCGCAAACCUUCACCCUGCCUGGACGCCUCUGCCCACUCGCGUCGAACGCCGCGUCACACGCCACUACCGACGCCAGGACGCCAGGACAGUAACGCUCAGCUACGCUGCGAUCCAUUUGCCAUCACCACCGUAGGCCUACGACCCACGUCCCUAAAUAGUCCUAAUAAAUAGAUUUAACACUUUGUA